rnacentral:SRP_RNA from 1 species
GCCGGGAGCUGUGGCGUGCUCCUGUAAUCCAGCUACUUGGAGGCCGGGUGCAGUGGAUGACUCUGAUCGUGUAAUUCGGGCCCGGCUGGUUGCGCAUUUCAGAUUAACGGUCGGCGGGGCGCUCCGACCAAGCGUUUUCGCCGGCCGACAGGGUAAUUAGGGACUUGCUCCCGAUGCGCGGCAGCUAGAGGCCGUUUCCGCGGUCACGUCCGAAGAGUCAGACCUGUACCCAA